rnacentral:rRNA from 1 species
ACACAGAGGGUGCAAACGUUGUUCGGAAUUACUGGGCAUAAAGCGCACGUAGGCGGCUUGGUAAGUGUGAAGUGAAAUCCCACGGCUCACCCGUGGAACUGCUUUGCAUACUGCCUGGCUCGAGGACGGUAGGGGAGAGCAGAACUCCUGGAGGGGCGGUGAAAUGCGUAGAUAUCAGGAGGAAUACCAGUGGCGAAGGCGGCUCUCUGGUCCGUUUCUGACGCUGAGGUGCGAAAGCCAGGGUAGCGAACGGGAUUAGAUACCCGGGUAGUCC